CUUAGUAUAACUAACUUCCAAUUAGUAGGCUUUGGUAAACUCCAAAAAGAAAUA
rnacentral:tRNA from 1 species